rnacentral:rRNA from 1 species
UAAGUGAUGAUAGCCUAGGGGAGACACCUGUACCCAUGCCGAACACAGCAGUUAAGCCCUAGCACGCCUGAAGUAGUUGGGGGUUGCCCCCUGUGAGAUAGGGUCGUCGCUUAGCAAGAGGGAGUUUAGCUCAGUUGGGAGAGCAUCUGCCUUACAAGCAGAGGGUCAGCGGUUCGAGCCCGUUAACUCC